rnacentral:miRNA from 1 species
GCAGCGGGUCGGGCAGCAUCU